UACGUAGGGAGCAAGCGUUAUCCGGAUUUAUUGGGUGUAAAGGGUGCGUAGACGGGUUAGCAAGUUAGUAGUGAAAUCCCUCGGCUUAACUGAGGAACUGCUACUAAAACUGUUAAUCUUGAGUGCUGGAGGGGAAAGUGGAAUUCCUAGUGUAGCGGUGAAAUGCGUAGAUAUUAGGAAGAACACCGGUGGCGAAGGCGACUUUCUGGACAGUAACUGACGUUGAGGCACGAAAGUGUGGGGAG
rnacentral:rRNA from 1 species